rnacentral:rRNA from 1 species
CCCCAGGUCAGGCGGGGCUACCCGCUGAGUUUAAGCAUACCAAUAUGCGGAGGAAAAGA